rnacentral:rRNA from 1 species
UUGGAGGGCAAGUCUGGUGCCAGCAGCCGCGGUAAUUCCAGCUCCAAUAGCGUAUAUUAAAGUUGUUGCAGUUAAAAAGCUCGUAGUUGAAUUUCGGGGUUAGUAGGUUGGUCAUGCCUCCGGUAUGUACUGGCCUCACUGACUCCUCCUUCCUGAUGAACCGUAAUGCCAUUAAUUUGGUGUUGCGGGGAAUUUGGACUGUUACUUUGAAAAAAUUAGAGUGUUUAAAGCAGGC